UGAGACGGUUAAGCUGUCUUCAGGGCAAGGGUCACUGUUGUGUAUGUACGGGACGUAACAGAAUGGGAGCCUGCAGGACUGAAGCACCAAGAUGAACAUCAGGAGUUCGUGCAAAUCUCAGUUGUCUAAACUUGCUGCCAACUCAGACCUACCCCUGAAAAUUUUCAAAUGGAGGUGUGGAUCCCUUUGGAAGUUUUGAAUGGAGGUGCAGACCCCUUCGAGUUGUAUGCGAUGGCAUAGCAGCUAAAGUAUUCCAGGAUGACUCAAGAGGAGUGAUCUUGAUCCUUGCAUUGAAGGAUUCCCCUCCGAUCGAUCCAGCUGUGAAUGGAUUUGGUCAGUCAGGCUGGAGAGUCAAAAGUAGUCAUAUGGGACAUUAGACAACACCCCUUUGCAUGCUGUUGACUACAGAAACUGGAAUGCAUGGAUAAGGCCCAGUAAUGGGCCAUCUUCAUUCCUGUAUUGAGCCCAAUGAUUUGUAUUUGACUAAAGUAUAACUGGUGAUUGGCUAAAGCCCCUCUUCCAAAAGGGCAUCCCAGUCUUGAUCUGAAGGCAUACAACAUUUCUCUUGGUAGUUUGUUCCUAUAGCUAAUCCACCCUCACUGUUAAGAUUAUGCCUUGUCUCUAGUUUGAAUUUGUCUGGCCUCAGGUUCCAGCCAUUUGUUCCUGUUAUGCUUUUCUAUAUGAGAUUAAAGAGCCCUUUAGUACCUGGUAUUUUCUCCCUAUGAAAGUGCUUACACACUGUAAUCAAGUCACCUCUCAAUUGUG